GGGGGGGAUUUUGAGAACACUGAUUUAUGUUGUGGUUCAUAUGAAAAUGUCUACUUUGCAAGUACAUUUACUAAUGUCAAACUUCUCCUUCUCCUUUCCUGAUGUAAACUGACCUCUUACAUAUUCUAAAUUAGAACUACACAUACCUGUGUGCAAUUAUAGCCUCCCUUUAUAAAACUUCAUUCCCAACAUAUUUCCUUAGCUUUCUAGCAUGUUUUAUCUGUCCACUUCUUUAUAAUGAAAAAAUACAUUCAGAAAAAAAGACACAUUCCAACAUUUCAUAAUCCUUCUAAUGGUCUUCUUCAGUUUUAAAGCAUCUUAAAUUUAGACCUGAAAAUAAUCUCCAAUAAUGGUCAUUGACAAGAAUAAUUUCAGAUGUUUUAUAAAACUAGUAUCAACAAACAAACUACCACAUCAACUUGAUACAACAGGUAACAAAUUAAGUUUUAAUAAAAUCAACAUCCACAGUGGAUUUUUGCAUGAUCAUUUACCUCAUAAAAUACAACAUAUUCAGACAAAAAUCUUCACAUUAAUAUCAUAACUCUAAUCAAUAUAGUAUAGCCUACAAAAUAAUCCUAUCACAAUCUAUAACUCCUUUACAAAAAAAAAGCAAUUUUUCAUAAUUAUAAUUUCAUUUUUCUCAUCAUUAAUAAAUUUUGUGCUAUCUUGUCUUUUUUCAUAUAGGCCAUGUCUGUGAAGAAACUUAAGUGGAAAGAUUUAUAAUGAAGCACUUGAAAUGAUGUGUAAUUCAUGGUUAAAGGAAUGACAUUUUGAGAUAUCGUUUGGUCAGAUUGAUUUUCAAAGUGAUAUUAAUAGUAUAUGUUUGUUUUUACCAUACCUCUGAACCCCUACCUGUCUCCCAUUUACAAAAAAAUAAUUUCAACCCUUAUGAGAAAAUUUGACAAAUUCACAACCUUUAACAAGUUUAACAAGUAUUCAUGAUUUUAUGACCUACUUUGAACAGUUUAUAUACCACUAAUGAAGGGAGAUAAUCAAGGUUUUUUCAAAUUUGCAUGGUAGUGUAUUAUAGCACAUUUUAACCCUUUCACCGAUUGCUGCCUAGA
rnacentral:lncRNA from 1 species